rnacentral:rRNA from 1 species
AAUAAAUCUAAGAGGGGACAAGUCAUAACAAGGUAAGCAUUGUAUAAUGAAUUAACUAGAACCAACUUGGCAAAGUGAAAUGAAGUCCACCAUCCCAAAACCAAAUGAGCUACUUCCAAACAGCUAACAGAGCAAAUUCAUCUAUGUGGCAAAAUAGAAGAUUUAGAAGUAGAGGUGAAAGCCAACUAAGCUUGAUGAUAGCUGGUAUCCAAGUAAGAAUCAUAGUUCAGCUUUAGGUUUUCCUAAAAUAUUUCCAAAUUCAAUGAAAACUUAAAAUUUACUUUAAAGAGGGACAGCUCUUUAGAACAAGGAAACAACCUUCAACAAUGGGUAAAAGGUAAGACCUUCGUAGUUGGCCUAAAAGCAGCCAUGAAUUAAGAAAGCGUUCAAGCUCAACAAACCACACAGCUCUUAAUCCCAAUAAAACUUAAUGAACCCAUGACAAACAAUUGGAUUAAUCUAUAAUUAUAUGGAAGAAAUAAUGUUAAUAUUAGUAACAAGAAAUCAUUCUCCCUGCACAAGCUUAAAUCAAAUAUACACUUGAUUGUUAACAAUUUAAUAAGACGAGACCCGUCAGUAGUGUUAUUAAACUAAUUGUAAACCCAACACCGGAGUGCUAUCCAAGAAAAACAAAACAAAGCAAAAGGAACUCUGCAAACAUAAAUUCCACCAGUUUACCAAAAACAUCAUCUCUAGCCUUUCCAGUAUUAGAGGCACUGCCUGCCCAGUGACAUCAGUUCAAAGGCCAUGUAUCCUGAGCAUGCAAAGGUAGCAUAAUCACUUGUUCUUUAAAUAAGGACUCAUAAAUGGCUAGAUGAGGGCUUGUCUCUUGAUCUCCCCAUGAAAACAUGGGGAUAACAUAAUGACAAGAAGACCCUAUGGAGCUUUAAUUUAUUAGUUUACUCAACCUACCUCAAACCCACAAGGGCACAAAAACAAAUAGACCUAGACUAAUAAUUUCAGGUGGGUUGACCUCGGAGAAUAAAACCUUCCAAUGAUAUUAACUUAGACACUACAAGUCGAAGUUCUUAUCACCAACUGACCCAAAACAUUUUUCAUCAACGGACCAGCUACCCUAGGGUUAACCGGCCAGUCCUAUUUUAGAGUUUAUGUCGACAAUAGGGUUUACACCCUCAGUGUUGGAUCAGGACAUCCUAAUGGUGCAGCCUUUAUUAAGGGUUCAUCUGUUAAACGAUUAACAGUCCUACGUGAUCUGAAUUUCAGAACAGAGUAAUUCAGGUGGGUUUUUGUCUAUUAAAAACCUCUCCCAGUACGAAAGGAAAAAGAAGUGGGGCCGUCAUUUAUGCC